ACUUCCUAAGCCGGAACGAAAAGUCUCUUUGUAGCAAUACAUUGACGCUUUUGGCUUUGUGGUUGUGAUGUUGUGUUUGCAAGUUGUCUGGGAAACCAGACUUUGUAGCGUAAGCUGCUGUUUUUUCACUUCCUGUACAUUUACCCUGUCUGUCCAUAGUGAUUUUUUUUAAUGCACCGCAAUGGCGGUGCUUUUUUUC
rnacentral:other from 1 species